GGCCCCGCCCCCUUCCUCGGAGCGGUUGCCUGGCCUCGCGACGCUUCGGCUGAGCCGGGACGGCCGGGACGGACCCGCGUUGCGGAGCCCCUUUGGGCGAUUGGGAGCAGUUGGUGCUUGAGGAGCUGCGUGAGUCGGGAGUGGAGGCGAAGGAAAGAGGCAGCUCCGUGCAGCCGCCCUGAGGAGCUCUGAAAUGCUUCUGGAGCCACCAUAACAAACGGAGCCCACUAGAGCACUUGGCAACUUGGCAACUUUAAGACUUGUGGACUUCAACUCCCAGAAUUCCCCAGCCGGUGCUAGACGAUGAUGAAAAUUGCGCCUGCUGGCAGAAUUGCACCUGGUUGCCACGAGGCAGCCUCUGGAGGAAAGCUGAGCUUCGCCUUGCAUGGCAUUGGCUGGGCACAUCUUGCAAAAAGCAGUAAGGCUAUGUCCCUCCUGCUGUUUUGCAUCGAAAAGUGAGUCAAUUGCUACCAAGCCUUUUUCUGGCACAACUUACCUCCAAUCACUCCUGCAAGAUACACAGCUCCCA